CUCGUAUUUGAAGAGCUUGCUCAGAUAUGACGAUGGACAUUGCAAAGAGUGGCGAACGGGUGAGUAACACGUGGGAAACCUACCUCUUAGCAGGGGAUAACAUUUGGAAACAGAUGCUAAUACCGUAUAACAAUGACAACCGCAUGGUUGUUAUUUAAAAGAUGGUUCUGCUAUCACUAAGAGAUGGUCCCGCGGUGCAUUAGCUAGUUGGUAAGGUAAUGGCUUACCAAGGCGAUGAUGCAUAGCCGAGUUGAGAGACUGAUCGGCCACAAUGGGACUGAGACACGGCCCAUACUCCUACGGGAGGCAGCAGUAGGGAAUCUUCCACAAUGGGCGAAAGCCUGAUGGAGCAACGCCGCGUGUGUGAUGAAGGGUUUCGGCUCGUAAAACACUGUUGUAAGAGAAGAAUGACAUUGAGAGUAACUGUUCAAUGUGUGACGGUAUCUUACCAGAAAGGAACGGCUAAAUACGUGCCAGCAGCCGCGGUAAUACGUAUGUUCCAAGCGUUAUCCGGAUUUAUUGGGCGUAAAGCGAGCGCAGACGGUUAUUUAAGUCUGAAGUGAAAGCCCUCAGCUCAACUGAGGAAUUGCUUUGGAAACUGGAUGACUUGAGUGCAGUAGAGGAAAGUGGAACUCCAUGUGUAGCGGUGAAAUGCGUAGAUAUAUGGAAGAACACCAGUGGCGAAGGCGGCUUUCUGGACUGUAACUGACGUUGAGGCUCGAAAGUGUGGGUAGCAAACAGGAUUAGAUACCCUGGUAGUCCACACCGUAAACGAUGAGUGCUAGGUGUUUGAGGGUUUCCGCCCUUAAGUGCCGCAGCUAACGCAUUAAGCACUCCGCCUGGGGAGUACGACCGCAAGGUUGAAACUCAAAGGAAUUGACGGGGACCCGCACAAGCGGUGGAGCAUGUGGUUUAAUUCGAAGCAACGCGAAGAACCUUACCAGGUCUUGACAUCCCUUGACAACUCCAGAGAUGGAGCGUUCCCUUCGGGGACAAGGUGACAGGUGGUGCAUGGUUGUCGUCAGCUCGUGUCGUGAGAUGUUGGGUUAAGUCCCGCAACGAGCGCAACCCUUAUUACUAGUUGCCAGCAUUCAGUUGGGCACUCUAGUGAGACUGCCGGUGACAAACCGGAGGAAGGUGGGGAUGACGUCAAAUCAUCAUGCCCCUUAUGACCUGGGCUACACACGUGCUACAAUGGCGUAUACAACGAGUUGCCAACCCGCGAGGGUGAGCUAAUCUCUUAAAGUACGUCUCAGUUCGGAUUGUAGGCUGCAACUCGCCUACAUGAAGUCGGAAUCGCUAGUAAUCGCGGAUCAGCACGCCGCGGUGAAUACGUUCCCGGGUCUUGUACACACCGCCCGUCACGCCAUGAGAGUUUGUAACACCCGUAGCCGGUGCGUCACCAACU
rnacentral:rRNA from 1 species